UUAUCAAAUUUCCUCUUCUUGUCCAUCGGUUUCGUUGGCUGCGAAGGACGCGACGAAAACUUCUCCGGUUUCAUCCGUUUCUCCUCCUCAAGCCCAGCUUCGAUCAUGGCUGCCCUCUCAACCAAUUCGGACACCGAAGUAAAGGUUCGAAUCAAGCAAUGGUUACGGAUCUCGAUCCUUAGUCCUCAGAUGAAACGACGAACUUGAGCUUGUUCAUCCUCGAGUUCUCUCCCCACAUAUCGCCUAAGACGAUUGAACUCUUCGUCAUACUCGCGCACCGUUCGGUUCCCUUGAACCAAAUCCAAGUAGGCGCACUCGAGUCUGUCCCAAGCCUCCGGUGGGAAGAAAUUCUUGUUGAAUUCUUCCUCAAAAUCCGCGAAGGAUUGGAUUUGAUCACCUUUCCGUUUCUCGACGGUUAGCCACCAGUUAUGUGCAUCGCCCUCCAAGAAGUGGAUUGCAAUGUCCUUCCGGUAAUCCUCCGGGCAUCGAGUGGAGAUAAAGUUUCUUUUGAGCCGAGUCCUCCACUCAUCCGCCACGAUCGGGUCGGAACUCCCCGUGAAAUGCUUUGUUCCCAACUUCGAGACGUGCGCGAGUAAACUCAAGUAGUCUCCCCGCUUCCUUGAAGAGUUCGUAGGCAGAUUGACUUCAACAGUCUCCACAUCUACGUCCACAUCCGCGUCCGUUUUGUUCUCCUUCACUUGUACCACAGGAUCCGGUACGAGUGCCUUAGUCAAUGCGGCCAUUUGUGCCAUCAUUGCCUUUAUCGUAUCCCAUUGUUCUUGAGCCGAUGGAAGUGCAUUCGGUGCCUCUUUCUCCUUCGUUGCAUCACUACUCUCCGGAGUUUCGUGAACCGGAAGUUUCUGUCCAGCCUCAGGUCCGGCCGGGUUUAUUCCAUCCAUCGUUGCUUCGACCCUUGUUUCCUCAGUGACCCACGUCUCCUCGGCGGUCAAGGUCUCCUCAACGACGUCCUUAUCCUUCUUACUCUUUCCCUUCUUGUCUUUCUUACCCAUCUGUGAAAACUCACAAGUUAGUCAUAUAACUCAAAGUAAUCGUUUAGAGAGAAAGAACAUCUACCGCGAGAUCUCAUUAAGCCGAUGAGUGGUGAUCCCCAAACCCAAAACUCAUAGUCCUAGAACCGUAAAUGCUCUGAUACCAACUUGAAAGACCCCAACCCGGACUCCCUAAGCCCAGAGAGGUUCUUCCCGAACGGAUCACUAAGUGGUCCGAUCCUUAGCCAAAUUUUAGGGUUCAUUCCUUAAGACAAUCCGUUUCAUAUUAUUCCGCGAUUCAUUAUUUAGAGUCAUUAUGCAACCUUAGAGUAAAACAACGAUCGGAUACUUUAUUAGAUAAGUAAAGGAUUCGAUACAACUUAUGAGUUUGCAUAUAAGCUAUUAAAAGUCAUAUAAUCGAUCCUAUUCUACCCGAUUCACCACCACCCAUCUUCCCGACUAUGAGUCUCUCGCGCCUAAGCCAUAUCCUUCCCACGAUCACCAUCCUUCCCUGAAACCAACAAGACAUAAGUACUCGUCUUUUACUUAGUGGAUGCAAGUCCAUGCAAUGCACUAUACGUUCUUAUAAUCCUUUGGUCCGGAAAACGGAUCGGAGAGAGGAAGUAAGCGCAUCAGUUCGGCCUAGAACCGGUAGAUCCUCGCGGAUCCGCCGAUUCCUUGCCGAGCCGCCUCCCCGUCUCAACCAAACCGUUACUCCUCACAAAGUAUGCACGAUAUGAAUAUGCUCAUGAAUGACUAGGCCGAUCAACGAACUAAUCAAACAACCCACAAUAUUCUAGCCCUUAUACCAUCCGCACGUCCGGAGAUCGUAAUCUCCGAGGCAUUACCACGGCUUUACACCCACCUUGACUACACGGAUUCGAUCGGUGAAUGAUCAGUGUUGCCUCUCUCGAUCGCCGAUAGAACGCUCGGCUCCGCAAACUCUCCUUUUAACCGUAUUCCUCUCGGCAAAUGCCUUAGAGUUUUCUCUGGAUUUUAGGUGUUUGCGCGUGUUUUUGAAAAUAAAGGAAUCGCCUUCUAUUUAUAGUUUUUACGAUUAAAACCGUUUUUCCCCAUAGGUGCCCGUUCGGUGGAACACGCUUGUUUGCAUAGGUUCGUUGAAACCGCUCAUUCAUGCAUCUUUGACCAACCGUUCGUUCGCGUCUAUUCGGCCGUUAUAUGUAAUCGUCAACCCAACCGCCUUACUACCUUCCCACCCGGCCAGCUGACCUAGCUAGACGGUCACUCAACCAGCUGACCUUCACUCCGUCCAGCUUAGGUGAGCUACCGAGCAGCUGGUCCAGCUAGUCGAGCUGGUUAGCUUCAACACUUCCAGCUCGUUUCAGCUUGUCACGCACUUUAGAAGCCACUCUAUCCGCUUCCUUUGGACUUAGCCCGAGAUUCCGCUUUUCCCUCGAACCAAGUCUUACCCGGCGAUCCUAUUGAGGGUCGCGGGUGUUACAAGUCUCCCCCCCUUGGAUGGGAUUCGUCCCCGAAUCCGACUCAAGUGGAUCUUCAUCCAUCUCCUUAAACCACUUAGGAAAAUCGGCCUUCAUCUUAUUCUCCGUUUCCCAAGUAGAUUCUUCGCGGCCACCGCAAUCCCAUAAAACUUUUAUCAUGGUUAUCCGUUUCCUCCGAGUUCCCUUCUCCAUUCGAUCCAUGAUUCGAAUUGGUCUUGCUUCCACCGUUAGGUUUUCUUUUAACUCGGAAGGAAUAUCUUCGAGACGCUCCUCAUGUUCGCUUAGACAUUUCCGAAGUUGUGAUACAUGGAAGACCUUGUGGAAUGCAUCCAACUUUGGUGGUAGUUGGAGUUUGUACGCCACAGCCCCUACCCUUUCGAUCACCUUGUAUGGACCAACGUACCUUGGACUCAAUUUCUUCCUUGUAGUAAAUUGCCCUUUUCCCUUAUAAGUCACCGCCUUAAGAUAUACCAAGUCUCCCACUUGGAACUCCAACUCUUUUCGACGCUUAUCCGCAUAACUUUUUUGUCGGUUUUGGGCUUCCUUUAGUUUUAUCUUAAGGAACUUCAUCUUUUCGGUGGUUUCAUCCACAAUCUUCGGACCGAACAGCAUACGUUCGCCCACCGGUGUCCAACAUAGCGGCGUCCGACAUGCUCGGCCGUACAACGCUUCGUAAGGCGACAUACCAAUACUAGCUUUAUAGCUAUUAUUGUACGCGAACUCCACCAACCUUAAGUACUUCUCCCAAUUCCCACCCCAAUCCAAGACGCAUGCACGUAACAUGUCCUCAAGGGUUUGAAUCGUACGCUCGGAUUGUCCGUCCGUUUGCACCAAUCCACUCGAAACUUGGUGUUCCGCCUUGACUAGUUGGCACGUCGAACACUUAGCAACCCAUGCCGCUACGUCCUUCUUCAUUCCAACCCAAUGGUAGUAUCGUUUCAAGUCUCGGUACAUUUUACUCGAUCCGGGGUGGAUCGAGAACUUUGAUUGGUGCGCCUCUUUGAGGAUUUCUUCCUUCAACUCCUUAUCGUUUGGCACGCAUACCCGACCAUUCACCACAAUCCUACCAUUGUUAGACGUUUGGUAUUCUGUCUUAUCGUUCCUUGCCCAAUCGUUUAUCUCCUUGUCUUUCUCUUGAGCCAAACGAAUUCUACUAAGUAGAUCGGCUUGAUCGGCCGCACCUAAUCCCAAUGGCUCAUAAUCCUUAGACAAUGCAUUUAAAUGCAAAGUUCCCAUCAUGUUGACCAAAGCCUCUUGGUUUUUCUCCGCUUCUACUUCAAAACGUCUCCUACUUAAGGUAUCCGCAACUUGAUUUGCUUUCCCCGGGUGAUAUGCAAUAUCUAAGUCGUAAUCCGCCACGAAUUCCAUCCACCUUCUUUGCCUUAGAUUUAACUCCGGCUGGGUGAAUAUGUACUUAAGACUCUUGUGGUCGGUGAAGAUUUGGACUUUAGCUCCGUAAAGAUACGAUCGCCAAAUCUUCAAGGAAAACACCACCGCCGCCAUUUCCAAGUCAUGCGUAGGAUAAUUUCCUUCGUGUUUACGCAAUUGCCUUGAAGCAUAAGCGAUUACACUACCCUUUUGAAUCAAUACGCAUCCUAGUCCCGUGAUCGAUGCAUCCGUAUAGACCAUGUAGGGUUCACCUUCUUCCGGUAGCACCAAUACCGGAGCGCUCGUUAGCAUAGCCUUCAAUUCCGAGAAACUUUUCUCACAUUCCUCCGACCAUUGAAACUUUGUAUCCUUUCCGGUUAGCCGGGUCAUCGGUUGGGACAUACUCGCAAAGCCCUUAACGAACCUUCGGUAAUAUCCUGCCAACCCGAGGAAACUUCUUAUCUCAGUGGCAUUCUUCGGUCGUGGCCAAUCCUUAAUAGAUUUUAUCUUCUCCGGAUCGACGGACACUCCUUUAUCCGAAACAAUAUGUCCGAGGAAUCCAAUACUCCUUUGCCAAAACGAGCACUUGCUUAAUUUUGCAAAUAACUCGUGCUUUCUCAACCGUUCUAACACCGCCCUUAGAUGAUCUUGAUGGGAUUCCCAAUCCUUAGAAUAAACAAGAAUAUCAUCGAUGAAGAUGAUCACAAACUCGUCUAAAAAUUCUUGGAAAACACCAUUCAUCAUCUUCAUAAAGGCUGCCGGUGCAUUGGUUAGUCCAAAUGGCAUGACCACAAAUUCGUAAUGGCCAUACCUUGUCCGAAACGCCGUUUUCCGGAUAUCCAGCGGAUCUAUCGGAAUUUGGUGGUAUCCCGAGGCCAAGUCUAUCUUUGAAAACCACUUGGCACCUCGAAGUUGAUCCAACAACUCAUCUAUCCGAGGUAAUGGAUACUUGUUUUUCACCGUAACUCUAUUCAAUCCCCGAUAGUCAAUGCAUAGCCUAAAGCUACCAUCCUUUUUCUUUACGAACAAGACCGGUGCACCCCAUGGUGAACUACUCGGUCUAAUGAAUCCUUUAUCCAACAACUCUUCCAAUUGUUUCUUUAGCUCCGCCAUUUCCGCCGGUGCCAUCCGGUACGGAGCUUUAGAUAUAGGAGUUGUUCCUGGUUCGAGUUCAAUAGUGAAUGGGUCGGACCGGUCCGGUGGUAAACCACUCACAGCCUCAAACACAUCCGAGAACUCGUUUGCGAUCGGAAUGUCUUUCAACUCCGCACUCACCCCAACUUCGUGGGUUGUGAUUGUGGCUAUGGAUGCCUCACACCCUUUCUCUAGCAUCCUUUCCGCUUGGAUUGCCGAGAUUACCAAACUUCCCGAAGUUGUCCUUAUUCCUUGGAAUUUUAACAUUCCUUCCUCCCUCUCGAAUUGAAUCCGUCCUCGAUGACAAUCAAUAUGUGCCUUAUACUUUCCCAACCAAUCCAUACCCAAGAUAACAUCGUGUUUCUUGAGUUGAACAACGAUUAGGUCCGUAGGCAUAUCGACACCGUUAACCACAACCGAGAUGUCCCGAACAAUACCGGACGGGUACAUUGCUUGCCCGCCGGCUGCUCUAACCAGUCCAUAUUCGGUGUUCCGUUCUUUAAUGAACCCACCCUUUUUAACCAUCUCGGAAAUCACAAAACAAUGUGUAGCUCCGGAAUCAAAUAAAGUGUGUGUUUCCACAUCACCUAUUGAUAGUAGGAUUUUAGCUAAGAUCAAUUAUCCUUAAAGUACUAUCAUGUCAUUGCAGUAUUUAAGGUGUCAAUCCAAAUGGGUGUGAUGCUAGCAAUCAAGAUGCAAUCAGAUAUCACAGAGUCAAGCCAAGCAAUAACAGGUUUUGGUGUUGUUAAUAGCUCUAGCGAUCAUGCAGAUAACAUAAAUUCUAACUAUAACAGGCAAUAUACUCGAUCACACAGCUUGAUGCCAAGCACUGGAUGUGGUCGAGUAUCAGGUCGAGUAAUUUAACAGAAACUGUAAACAGGGUACUCGACUGCACAGUUUGUUACCAAACUACUGGGUGUGGUCGAGUACUUCAAAUGAAACAGGGUAGAAAUGAUAAAACUGAGCAACAAGUAACCAGAUCAAGCAAUUAAUAGCGAUGUAAACAAAGAAAUCAAAUGGAAGAGAAAUUCCCGAGGAUGGGGUGAUCGAGUAUUGAAGUCUUCUUAAUCUAACAGGUGGUUAACAUGCUCAACAAACUAUCCCUAGACAACAAGUUCAAUAGCCAAAUCAAAGUGCUACCGCAACAGAGAUCCUCAAGCAAAGCUAGUCCCAGACUCAAUCACCAUUGACGAGAGCUAACCUAACAGGCAUUACGAAACAACAAGUCUAAGCCAAAACGCUCCCUGUAACCAAUACCUUGGUACAGAGCCACGAAUCUCUGGAAUUAGUGGUUCAGACAUUUCAUCGAACACCUUUUGGGUGCGGAAAUGUCUGGGCUCAGAUUCCAGUUGAUCAGAAAGCAAUCAGCAUUAAGAACAACUAAUCCAGAAGGGAUCUACCAAUCAAACUCAACCACCUAGCAGAUCAAGGAUUCUAAACUACUCUAACCCAUCCUCAAGAACCCUAAUCACUACUCAAAAUUCAUAACCAAGAACACAAACCCAGAAAUACAUAAAAACUUCAUAUUAGCAAGAUCUCAACAAGAUGAACAACUUUGUAGAAGAAAUCAAAAGCAAAUACUCAAUAGAUUAAGAGAAAUCUGGAUUACAAAUAUGAAGAAAAGCACUAAUUGUUCUGCAGAAAAUAAAAACUUCCUCUCAAAAUUAUGAGAAACAACCUAUUUAUAGCAAAUACUAGGAAACCCUAAAUCACAAGACGACAAAGUAUUAAGGCGGUUUACGGAGAUACUCGACCCUUGUGAUCGAGUAGAGAGGUUGAAUAAAGUUGGCGCCUUUGCGAUUUCUUGCUCUGGGCAUGUCGUGAUCGAGCAUUUGGGUCGAGUAUGUGCUCGAGUUCUGCUUCAUCCUCUUCUCUUCCUUAUGCUCAAUGUCUGGUUGAGUUGGGAUCUGAGAAGACUGUGAAGCUUGUGAUCAAGUGGCUGCGGGGAGGUGGUGAUCGAGUAGAUUGGUUGGUGGCACGCUCUGGACUGCUUCUUCAACCCUGCGAUCGAGUAGAACUGUGAACUGGCAGGAUGGACUGCCCUGUGAUCGAGCAGAACUGUGAACUGGCAAGAUGGACUGCCCUGUGAUCGAGCAGAACACUCCUGAUGGUCUGCUGAGCUGACUGCUUCCCUCUCUGCUACUGGUGAUCGAGCAGAAUGGUCCAAAUGUGACUUUCAGCUAUGUUUUUCCUCUUUCUGAACACCAAUAGCCCCGAAGCACCUGAAACAACUCAAAUAUGCAACAUGCAUGCAAAACUACCCUAAUCAUGCAAAGUGAUGACAAAUGAUGAAGAAUGGUAUGAAACAAUGACGAAAUGAUGAUAAAGUGAUGCUAAAUGGAUGCUCAAAACAAGUGAAAUAUAGACAUAUCACCUAUACUCAAGGUCCCUACACAUUUCCCUAUAGUGCUAAGUACCUAAUCCGUUUAUGCACGAUGAAAUGCCAUGCACGAAUUAAAAUAAAAAGCACAAAGGCUUACCAGUGAUCGCCCUGAAGUUCCCAGCGUUGUUAGCUUCCUCCGACAAUUCGUAAACGCGCGGUGCUAUAGCCUGCCUCUUGGGCGGAGGCGGUAACCCAUUUCUGCUACGGGUUACCCUUUGUCCAGCUUGUCUUUCCGCUUCCAGCUUUGGACAUUCUCUCUUGAAGUGUCCCGCUUUCCCACAGUAGAAGCAAGUCCUUUGCUCAUUCACAUUCUCUUUCGGAGUUCCUUGUUCCAUCCGUGGACAGUUUUGGAUACUAUGAUCCUUACUCCCACAACGCACACAUGCACCAACAGCCCUCCAGAAAGUUCCGCUGUGAUUCUUCCCACAAGUAGCGCACUCUCCGCGCUUAGUAUCCGAUUUGGUGUCCUCCACCUUAUCAAAUUUCCUCUUCUUGUCCAUCAGUUUCGUUGGCUGCGAAGGACGCGACGAAAACUUCUCCGGUUUCAUCCGUUUCUCCUCCUCAAGCCCAGCUUCGAUCAUGGCUGCCCUCUCAACCAAUUUGGACACCGAAGUAAAGGUUCGAAUCAAGCAAUGGUUACGGAUCUCGAUCCUUAGUCCUCGGAUGAAACGACGAACUUGAGCUUGUUCAUCCUCGAGUUCUCUCCCCACAUAUCGCCUAAGACGAUUGAACUCUUCGUCAUACUCGCGCAC
rnacentral:lncRNA from 1 species